GACGAACGCUGGCGGCGUGCUUAACACAUGCAAGUCGAACGGAAAGGCCCUGCUUUUGUGGGGUGCUCGAGUGGCGAACGGGUGAGUAACACGUGAGUAACCUGCCCUUGACUUUGGGAUAACUUCAGGAAACUGGGGCUAAUACCGGAUAGGAGCUCCUGCUGCAUGGUGGGGGUUGGAAAGUUUCGGCGGUUGGGGAUGGACUCGCGGCUUAUCAGCUUGUUGGUGGGGUAGUGGCUUACCAAGGCUUUGACGGGUAGCCGGCCUGAGAGGGGGACCGGCCACAUGAGGACUGAGAUACGGCCCAGACUCGUACGGGAGGCAGCAGUGGGGAAUAUUGCACAAUGGGCGGAAGCCUGAUGCAGCAACGCCGCGUGCGGGAUGACGGCCUUCGGGUUGUAAACCGCUUUCGCCUGUGACGAAGCGUGAGUGACGGUAAUGGGUAAAGAAGCACCGGCUAACUACGUG
rnacentral:rRNA from 1 species